UACGAAAGGUGCAAACGUUGUCCGGAAUUACUGGGCGUAAAGAGCAUGUAGGCGGAGUGAUAAGUCGCGUAUGAAAGAUCAGGGCUUAACCCUGGGAACGUGCGCGAAACUGUCAUUCUCGAGGUAGGCAGAGGUGCGUGGAACAUUCGGUGAAGGGGUGACAUCCGUUGAUAUCGAAUGGAACACCAAAGGCGAAAGCAGCGCACUGGGCCUUAUCUGACGCUGAGAUGCGAAAGCGUGGGGAGCGAUCGGG
rnacentral:misc_RNA from 1 species